GGCAGGCCUAACACAUGCAAGUCGAACGGUAACAGGAAGAAGCUUGCUUCUUUGCUGACGAGUGGCGGACGGGUGAGUAAUGUCUGGGAAGCUGCCUGAUGGAGGGGGAUAACUACUGGAAACGGUAGCUAAUACCGCAUAACGUCGCAAGACCAAAGAGGGGGACCUUCGGGCCUCUUGCCAUCGGAUGUGCCCAGAUGGGAUUAGCUUGUUGGUGGGGUAACGGCUCACCAAGGCGACGAUCCCUAGCUGGUCUGAGAGGAUGACCAGCCACACUGGAACUGAGACACGGUCCAGACUCCUACGGGAGGCAGCAGUGGGGAAUAUUGCACAAUGGGCGCAAGCCUGAUGCAGCCAUGCCGCGUGUAUGAAGAAGGCCUUCGGGUUGUAAAGUACUUUCAGCGGGGAGGAAGGGAGUAAAGUUAAUACCUUUGCUCAUUGACGUUACCCGCAGAAGAAGCACCGGCUAACUCCGUGCCAGCAGCCGCGGUAAUACGGAGGGUGCAAGCGUUAAUCGGAAUUACUGGGCGUAAAGCGCACGCAGGCGGUUUGUUAAGUCAGAUGUGAAAUCCCCGGGCUCAACCUGGGAACUGCAUCUGAUACUGGCAAGCUUGAGUCUCGUAGAGGGGGGUAGAAUUCCAGGUGUAGCGGUGAAAUGCGUAGAGAUCUGGAGGAAUACCGGUGGCGAAGGCGGCCCCCUGGACGAAGACUGACGCUCAGGUGCGAAAGCGUGGGGAGCAAACA
rnacentral:rRNA from 1 species